rnacentral:rRNA from 1 species
UGAUCCUGCCAGAAGUCAUAUGCUCGCAUCAAAGAUUAAGCCAUGCAUGCGUAAGUACAAACGAUUUGUACUGUGAAACUGCGAAUGGCUCAUUAAAUCAGUUAAAGUUCAUUUGAUAUUACAUUACUACUUGGAUAACCGUGGUAAUUCUAGAGCUAAUACAUGCCAAAACACCCGACUUCGGAAGGGUGGUAUAUAUUAGAUCCAAAACCAAUCACAGGGUUUACUCUGUGUUUUGUGAUGAUUCAUAAUAUCUUUACGAAUCGCAUGACCUUGAGUCGGCGAUAAAUCAUUCAAAUUUCUGCCCUAUCAACUUUUGAUGGUAGUGUAUUGGACUACCAUGGUGAUAACGGGUAACGAGGAUUAGGGUUUGAUUCCGGAGAGGGAGCCUGAGAAACGGCUACCACAUCCAAGGAAGGCAGCAGGCGCGCAAAUUACCCAAUCUCAACACGAGGAGGUAGUGACAAUAAAUAACAAUGCAGGGCUUUUUAAGUCUUGCAAUUGGAAUGAGUUUAAUU